rnacentral:rRNA from 1 species
UACGUAGGGUGCAAGCUUUAAUCGGAAUUACUGGGCGUAAAGCGUGCGCAGGCGGUUGUGCAAGACAGAUGUGAAAUCCCCGGGCUUAACCUGGGAAUUGCAUUUGUGACUGUACGGCUAGAGUGUGGCAGAGGGGGGUAGAAUUCCACGUGUAGCAGUGAAAUGCGUAGAGAUGUGGAGGAAUACCGAUGGCGAAGGCAGCCCCCUGGGAUAACACUGACGCUCAUGCACGAAAGCGUGGGGAUCAAACAGG